GCUGGUAUUGCCUAUGAUUACACUCUGCUGUCUGAAACACGUCUGUGGAUUUCCAUCAGCAUUCGUCACUACCACUGAGGCAUCAGC
rnacentral:snoRNA from 1 species